GCCGGGAAGGAGGCCCGCCCUGCGUGUGCGUACGCGCUCGCUAGAGGGGAGGUCCGCGGGGUGUGCGUGCGGCGGACGCGUGCUCCCGCGAGGGGGCGUGUCCUUUUGCGGGCCGGCCGGACGUCUACGCGCGUCGCGGAACGCGCAGCUGUGAGGAAGAAAGGUGCGCGCCGCGUCGGGCGGGCUCCACCUGCCUGCGGACAGGGAGGGUCGCUGUGUUCCGAGAAUACUAACAUGGGAAUGAAGAUGGAACCUCCUGACAAAAAUGAAGGUGAACAUGAUUUGGAAAAUAUGAAGAUGGACUCCACAAGCUAAAGAGGCUGUGGCAGAAAGAUUCUUUCAUUUAAGAGGCAUCUCCCUGGAGACUGAGGGGAUGGUAGGAGUCCCCUGCGGUGCUGUCAGCUCCACUUGCUGAACUUCUGGAGACAAAGUGAAAUACUAGGCCCCGAACAAACUGAGGGCAGGCAAAACAGAGAGUGUUUCCUGAUGGAGCUUACAUUCUACUGGAGCAGACUCGACACAAAUACUGAUUAUGAUCAGUGCUAUGAAGAAUAAUUGAGCAAGAAUCCUGUCGUUAUAGAGGAAGAUGAAUCUGUCAGUGUCGACUGAAGGUACACUUGGGGGAAACUUGAUUUUAUGUUUCCAGUGUAUAACAGGAAAAUGUUGACCCCUCUAGACCUCAAGUAUAGGUCUAGAAUGGAGAGCUUCUCACCUCAGACUAACUAGAGUCUUAAGAAUAACACCUCAUGACGUCUCCUCCUCAGCCUGACUCCUGAAUUCUGUGUGUACUCACGUGUAGUGAACCCCUGCGACCCCCCCCCAAGGCCUCCGCUCUUGUCUUCACCACACUAGGUGGCUUGGUUCAGCUGGCUCUCCAGGCUGCCAGGUGAGAAACAAGAGUUCUGAAAGAAACAAGAAUGUGGGAAGAGUGACUUGUAAGCAAAUGUGCACAGUUGGAAUGCCCUGCAAGGAAAAGCAGGGGGUGUGGGGGCCAGCAGAUCACAAGGCCUGGCAGUGAGGGAGGCACAAGCCGAGAGCUGGGACUAUGGGAUCACCCCGGCAUGUGGUCCUGGUGUCUAGACCAGCCAUCUAAGGUUGUCCUAGAUGGUGAAAGUUAUGGGUGCUGCUCUCACCUGAGACAGUUUGCUCUCCUGCUCUAAGCUCCUCCUGGUGACUUGCGGAGCUGUCUCACAGGUCACUUUUGGAAACAGCCUCAUGAGAGAACUGACCCCUCCACUCCUGAUUUGCAUGCCUACCCCCAUCUAUAAAGUCCUUGGUUCACCAGA